AACGAACGCUGGCGGCAUGCCUAACACAUGCAAGUCGAACGAGACCUUCGGGUCUAGUGGCGAACGGGUGCGUAACGCGUGGGAACCUGCCCUUAGGUUCGGAAUAACUCCCCGAAAGGGGUGCUAAUACCGGAUAAUGUCUUCGGACCAAAGAUUUAUCGCCUUUGGAUGGGCCCGCGUUGGAUUAGCUAGUUGGUAGGGUAAAAGCCUACCAAGGCGACGAUCCAUAGCUGGUCUGAGAGGAUGAUCAGCCACACUGGGACUGAGACACGGCCCAGACCCCUACGGGAGGCAGCAGUGGGGAAUAUUGGACAAUGGGCGAAAGCCUGAUCCAGCAAUGCCGCGUGAGUGAUGAAGGCCUUAGGGUUGUAAAGCUCUUUUACCCGGGAUGAUAAUGACAGUACCGGGAGAAUAAGCUCCGGCUAACUCCGUG
rnacentral:rRNA from 1 species